UGAGGAAUAUUGGGCAAUGCCCGCAAGGGUGACCCAGCAACGCCGCGUGGAGGAUGAAUGUCGUAAGAUUGUAAACUCCUGUUAGAGGGGAAGAAUAGUACCGGUUGGACCGGUAUAUGACUGUACCCUCAGAGAAAGCCCCGGCUAACUACGUGCCAGCAGCCGCGGUAAUACGUAGGGGGCAAGCGUUGUCCGGAUUUACUGGGUGUAAAGGGCGCGCAGGCGGGAUAAAAAGUCAGUGGUGAAAUCCUACAGCUUAACUGUAGAACUGCCUUUGAUACGUUUAGUCUUGAGUUCGGGAGAGAGAGACGGAAUUCCAGGUGUAGUGGUGAAAUACGUAGAUAUCUGGAAGAACACCAGUUGCGAAGGCGGUCUCUUGGUCCGACACUGACGCUGAGGCGCGAAAGCGUGGGGAGCAAACA
rnacentral:rRNA from 1 species